UGAACUGAACUGCUACAGAAAUGCAUGUACUGUUGUAUGUGUGUAUUUGUGUUCAGUUCCCGGUUGGAGAGGGUUUCAAUCUGCUGCUGUAUCCGUUAUCUGUGAUGGGGCCGUAUGGAUCUCACACCGUUCUGAUACCAGCGACCGGGACAGAGCAGAACACACAGCGCAGCCAAACUCCACAGGCAAACAGCAGCAAGAUCAGCGCUCAUAGUGAGUCCAAGCCAUUACAUGCAAACAGUGGGUUUCUCCAGCCAGACCCUGCCCCUGACUCCGCCCCUAGUCCCACCCAUCUCCCGUCUGAAUCUUUGCCUUUGCAGGGGCAGUUUCAGAUGUCACAUUUUGUCCCCUCAAAUGUCCCUCUGCAGUCAGACUCGGGCAGUUCAGAGGAAGAAGCCGCUGCUCAGGUGAUCUAUAUGGUUCCCAUCAGCGUGGGUUCACCCAGCAUGGGUGUGAUGGAGGGCACGGGGCCCAAUCCUGGCCCUGGACCCCUGCAGUUCAUGGGCAGCACCACUCCUGCUGCGGCGCAGCUGGACGCUCGGGGACAGCGGGCACAGACAGAGACGCUCGCUCCAGGAGUCCUCUGACCACAGGACAACACUCGCUGAUUCACUGAUGCCAGUCUUUAAGGCGGAUGAAGUGUUGAGUUAACCUGAACGCUGCAGGAUUAAUGGGUUUAUGGUGAUUAGUGGAGAAAGCUGACUGGGCACAUUAUCAGACAGAUAAUCUCUCAACCUGCUGCACUCAAGGUGAACAUUGCAAAAUAACACAUACUAACACACUAAACACAUAUGAUGAGAGCUAGAUCAAGACAAACGGAGAACACUGAUGUUUCACUGUAAAUUUGUGUGUGGCAGAGCGAAUGCAA
rnacentral:lncRNA from 1 species